rnacentral:rRNA from 1 species
UACGUAGGGUGCGAGCGUUAAUCGGAAUUACUGGGCGUAAAGCGUGCGUAGGCGGUUGGCAAAGUCAGCUGUGAAAGCCCCGGGCUCAACCUGGGAAUGGCGGUUGAAACUAGUCGACUCGAAUCUGGCAGAGGGGGGUGGAAUUCCACGUGUAGCAGUGAAAUGCGUAGAGAUGUGGAGGAACACCGAUGGCGAAGGCAGCCUUCUGGGCCAACACUGACGCUCAUGCACGAAAGCGUGGGGAGCAAACAGG